rnacentral:rRNA from 1 species
GACGAACGCUGGCGGCGUGCUUAACACAUGCAAGUCGAACGACGUGGCGAACGGGUGAGUAACGCGUAAUCAACCUGCCCUUCAGAGGGGGACAACAGUUGGAAACGACUGCUAAUACCGCAUACUGAAGGAGGGGAUUGCGUCUGAUUCGCUAGUUGGAGGGGUAAAGGCCCCCCAAGGCGAAGAUCAGUAGCCUGUCUGAGAGGAUGAAUCUGCAAAUUGGGACUGGGAAACGGCCCAGACUCCGAAGGGAGGCAGCAGUGGGGAAUCUUCCGAAAUUGACGGAAGUCUGACGGAGCAACUCCCCGGGAGUGAUGACGGCCUUCGGGUUGUAAAGCUCUGUUAAGCGGGACGCGGUACCGGAAUAGAAAGCCACGGCUAACUACGUGCCAGCAGCCGCGGUAAUAC